rnacentral:rRNA from 1 species
AUUGAACGCUGGCGGCAGGCCUAACACAUGCAAGUCGAGCGAGCGGCGGACGGGUGCGUAAUGCAUGGGGAUCUGCCCGAUAGCGGGGGCUAACUACUGGCAACGGUGGCUAAUACCGCAUACUAUGGGCUGAACCCCUAUGGGAUUAGCUAGUAGGGGGGGUAAAGCCUCCACUAGGCGACGAUCUCUAGCUGGCCUGAGAGGAUGAUCAGCCACACUGUGACUGAGACAAGGCCCAGACUCCUACGUGAGGCAGCGGUGGGGAAUAUUGCACGAUGUGCGCAAGCCUGAUGCAGCCAGGCCGCGUGUAUGAAGAAGGCCUUAGGGUUGUAAAGUACUUUCAGCGGGGAGGCGGUACCCGCAGAAGAAGCACCGGCUAACUCCGUGCCAGCAGCCGCGGUAAUAC